rnacentral:rRNA from 1 species
GACGAACGCUGGCGGCGUGCUUAACACAUGCAAGUCGAACGAAGAGCGAUGGAAGCUUGCUUCUAUCAAUCUUAGUGGCGAACGGGUGAGUAACGCGUAAUCAACCUGCCCUUCAGAGGGGGACAACAGUUGGAAACGACUGCUAAUACCGCAUACGAUCUAAUCUCGGCAUCGAGGAUAGAUGAAAGGUGGCCUCUACAUGUAAGCUAUCACUGAAGGAGGGGAUUGCGUCUGAUUAGCUAGUUGGAGGGGUAACGGCCCACCAAGGCGAUGAUCAGUAGCCGGUCUGAGAGGAUGAACGGCCACAUUGGGACUGAGACACGGCCCAGACUCCUACGGGAGGCAGCAGUGGGGAAUCUUCCGCAAUGGACGAAAGUCUGACGGAGCAACGCCGCGGGAGUGAUGACGGCCUUCGGGUUGUAAAGCUCUGUUAAUCGGGACGAAAGGCCUUCUUGCGAAUAGUGAGAAGGAUUGACGGUACCGGAAGAGAAAGCCACGGCUAACUACGUG